rnacentral:lncRNA from 1 species
UGAACUAGUAAGUUUCCAACUCUCAAACACUGAACUAGUAGAAGAUUUCUGAAGUGCCCUCUAGUUCUCCUAAACUAAAACCAUUAAUUUGCACCAGAUGAAAUGGACUAAUCAAGCAAAAGUAAUUAGGGUUUAGAAAAUGUGAAGUCCUUAGGUUCAUAUUGAUCUAGCUAUUUUGGAUUUUCCAGUUAAUACUUAUAUCAACGUUAAGAUACCAGAGGAGACAGAUAAGCAACAGAAAAAAGGCCAUCUCAGGCCCAGUAUUAGUCUUUGACAGUGAAACAUUGUGUUAAUACUCUGAACUACAUAAAUAAAUACUUCCUCUCUAUUAUUUCUUGGGACUUCUUAAUGUUUAUACUCAGCUCUAAUCAUUGUCUGGUUUAUGGCUAGGCA